GAUUCCCAUGCCUCGUUCCCGCACUCCCGUAUACCUGACCUACUGUGUACCGACCCUCGCCUGUUCCCUGACUAUCCUAGGUCGUGGGUGUUUGCAGUCUAUGCCACCUGACUUUGAGUGAGAGGCGGGUUCAGAGUGCACCAUACGUCCUACCCGAAGAUCCUUGGAUGGGCUCCAACACUCACAUGACCCUUGAGGCAGGAAUGGCUGUCACUGACCAGUCGAGCAUUUAGGAUGGUGUCGUCCGCCCGGAUGAUUUGCAACACCUUGACCAUUGCUCUGAUCUCCACCUGGAAGGAGGAACACCAUCAGCCUGUUGGAAUGGCGAACCGCUGUCUGUUGCGGUACCACGACAGGAGCGAGAGGCGUCUGUGGAUCAGGCACCGCCGCGACAGGAGCAAGAGGAGG